CCUACGGGGGGCGGCAGUAAGGAAUAUUGCUCAAUGGCCGAAAGGCUGAAGCAGCAACGCCGCGUGAAGGAUGAAGGGUCUUUGGCUUGUAAACUUCUGUAAAGAGGGAAAAAUAAUCCCGCAUUGCGGGACUUGAUUGCACCUCUAAAGUAAGCCCCGGCUAACUACGUGCCAGCAGCCCCGGUC
rnacentral:rRNA from 1 species